UACGUAGGGUGCAAGCGUUAAUCGGAAUUACUGGGCGUAAAGCGUGCGCAGGCGGUUUUGUAAGUCUGUCGUGAAAUCCCCGGGCUUAACCUGGGAACUGCGUUUGAAACUACAAGGCUAGAGUGUGGCAGAGGGGGGUGGAAUUCCACGUGUAGCAGUGAAAUGCGUAGAGAUGUGGAGGAACACCGAUGGCGAAGGCAGCCCCCUGGGUUAACACUGACGCUCAGGCACGAAAGCGUGGGGAGCAAACAGG
rnacentral:rRNA from 1 species